GUAAAACUCAACAGUGACAAAGAGACGAAGUACGGUUCCAGGCUCCAAUUCUCGGAGACUCUCGGAGACUCGAGGGCAGUUUACAUACAGGUACAACGGGACCAGCCUGGAGCCAGCCAUCGGGAAGAGAUAGUAAAGAGAACUCCAACUGCAUCACCCUCUAUUUCUUACCGAGUCUCAAAGAAGGGAGAAGGCACCUCCGCCCGCACCCCUCCCCCGUUUUAGAAGCACUAGCAGCAGGUUUCAGGCUCUGGGGAGCAGCACCCCCUACCCCGCUGCCUGAGAUCCCUUCAACCGAGUGAUUUAGAUGGUGCCGAGAGCUCUCUCCGUGUUCUAAUGGCGUCAUUGCGCUGUCCUUCACCACAUCUGGAAACUGAGACUUCACCUAAAGGACCCUAAUAUGAGUUGGAUGCAGAGGGACCGAAUUCCUGUAAAUAGAGGCUCAACCUGAAGGAAUACGCUUCUUUCCACAGUGAGUGGCAGGCAUCCCGACCAGGGCACCAGCUUGCCGGACUCUGGGAGUGAGCUCAGAGCCACUGGGAUGGAUGCUGGAAGAAUGGGGUACCUCCUGGCAACCCGGCGCCUGCAGCUGCCAUGUGAAAAGGACCCCUUCUCAACCUGGUUGAUGCUCACUGCCCGCAACAAAACAGGAAACCAGCGCCGGGCUUUAUAUCAACAAAUACACCGUAGAUGGUCGAGAGUUUGAAGGAAGUAGCGGGUUUGCGUCUAAGUCUGGUGCUGUUGGACUCGGUGUUUCUCCCUGAGAAAUCAGCGUGGAGCCAGGAGAACUGGGCCCAUAGGGGUCUUCCGUAAGGACACUCCCCAUCUGGCUGUGAAUUCUUAAUAGACAAAGCAACAGAGGGAGGGAAACUCACCAGCAAGGAGAAAGGGGGAAACUCAAGACCCCUUCAAGUACACACUGAGGUGUAAUCAGAUUUUACAGGCACGUUAUAUACUGUAACCAUAGCUAUGUGUGUGCCUUCAUACGCACACGCACAGAUUCACACACCAAAUGUAUACACAGGCACAAGCGUAGUGAAAUACAGUCAUUAUGCCAAGUCCUAAGGGGGGAAAAUCACCUUGUCAAAGCAGCCUGGUGGCCAGUUUCCUGUCCUCUGGUUCAAUUCAGCUUUCUCCAACCACUGGUCCUCCCUCCUGGGUCUGUAAAUACGGUAAAUACACCUGUCUUCAGUGGAAGGUGAGCGGCCCAUCAGCAUUUGUCUGGUUCAGAUGGCCUCCCCUAGAAUCUCUGGACCCUCCCGGAGCUGUUCCGAGCUUGUGAGGGAGCCUCCAGCUGCAGUCCUUUGUCUGUGGGACUAGAUCCCUUCAUGGCCCAAUGCUCUGGGAAACGAAGCAGCUCAAUACAAACUUUUGAUAUUAGUUUUUUAAAGGUAUUUACACUUUGGUGAGAGUAGCUGGGUACGGAAGCUGCUUCGUUAAUCAGCCCCCGACCCCGACCUUAGGUUCGGCUGGGACUAGGAGCUGGCCGGAAAAGAAAAAAAGCUUCGGGAAGUCGGAGAGAAUGAAAAACAAAACAAAACUGCACAAGGUCAUUUUCUGUUCCUGGAAACUGAGUAAGUGGGCCAUUCCAGGGACUCCCCAGUUGGCCACUCCCUCCCGCUUUGUACAGGGAACAUGUUUUCUGCCUUUGCCUAAUACAACAACUACACUUUAAAAUAUAUUUCCCCCUCCCAAUACAUAUAAAGGUGUAGCAAGCCCCUCUACAUCCAGUUUAUCUUUGACUUUAUUAUCAUCUUAUCUUGCAUACCUUUUUUGAUAAUUAAAGCUUAAUUAUAUCCCAGGUAUUGAACUGCUUCAUUCUCAAUAGAAGGUUUUGAGAAUUUUUAAGAUUGUGAGAAAGGGGUGAACUGGAGUUGUUUGAGGCAAGGACUAUUGAGAGCCCAAGGUUUCACCAAGAAGGAACCUGGAGCAAAAAAGAUUUGGGAUCUUAUCUGAAAUUGUAUGUGUCUUCUUUAUAAAAAUUACACAUGCGGGGGAGGGUUAUAUCAACUUCUUCUCUGAGUCCUUUCACUGAAGAUUUCUGUUCGUUUAAGAUUGAUGUGGGGGUGCCCUGUGUCCUAACUUGAUACAUUUUCACGUUAAGCAAAUGCUUAUUUCCUAUUUCAAAACAUCUCUUUCCCUAUAGACAUCUCAUAGAAAUUUCUAAUGCUUAAACUAAGAGAAGAAAGGGUGGACUGAAUUGAUAUCAAAGUUACCAUGGUUUUCUAGAAAAAAAAAUGUAGCUCUGUACGCCUUUUAAAAUAUUCCUUCUGCAACAAGAGAUUUUUAAAAUACUGAAUAAAAGCACGAAUGUUUUGUUUGCA
ensembl:lincRNA Hottip Hoxa distal transcript antisense RNA